UGAUAUUAAGAAGAAUGUUUAGAAGCAGAAGCAAACUGCCGAAAAAACAGACCUUGUUUCUCUAAAGGACAAGGAUUAAACAGCAUUAUAUUUUCCAGCGACCUAUUUAUAAGCUAUAAGCUAUAAGCUAUAAGCUAUAAGCUAUAAGCUAUAAGCUAUAAGCUAUAAGCUAUAAGCUAUAAGCUAUAAGCUAUAAGCUAUAAGCUAUAAGCUAUAAGCUAUAAACAUUUAUUGCUAGCUUUUAGUUAGAAAAUUAAUGUGGAUAGUCAAUUGUGAUAUCUGUGGGAAGGUAAGUCUUAUAACGAGCCACAAUUCUUGUUGUCGUUACCAGCAUCUGAUGGUGGGGAUUCGUAUAAAACUGUCAGGUAUAAGUUAGAGGAAGGCGUAAGGGUUGCAUUAAAUUGUCAUGAUCCUUAUAUCCUAGGGUACAAGCUUACCGCAAUGGCCUAAAAAAGCUAAGCAAAAUGCCAUAAAUCAGAUUUCAGUUUGGAUUUGCUUGGUACUCAAAUUUAUAAAGUUGGAGUCGCUAAUACUCGCACAUACCUUAACAUAGGAAUUGAAUAAAAUUUUGCUGUUUUUAUUAAUUAUAGCUUAAAGCAGUGCUUCCUCAUUAAAACGACAAAAUAC
rnacentral:misc_RNA from 1 species